UACAGAGGUCUCAAGCGUUGUUCGGAUUCAUUGGGCGUAAAGGGUGCGUAGGCGGCGCGGUAAGUCGGGUGUGAAAUCUUGGAGCUUAACUCCGAAACUGCAUUCGAUACUGCCGUGCUUGAGGACUGGAGAGGAGACUGGAAUUUACGGUGUAGCGGUGAAAUGCGUAGAUAUCGUAAGGAAGACCCAGUGGCGAAGGCGGGUCUCUGGACAGUUCCUGACGCUGAGGCACGAAGGCCAGGGAGCAACGG
rnacentral:rRNA from 1 species